rnacentral:rRNA from 1 species
GAUGAACGCUGGCGGCGUGCUUAACACAUGCAAGUCGAACGGAAAGGCCCAAGCUUGUUUGGGUACUCGAGUGGCGAACGGGUGCGUAACACGUGGGCAAUCUGCCCUGCACUUCCGGAUAAGCCUGCGAAACUGGGCCUACUACCGGAUCGGACCCCAUCUUGGAUGGUGUGGUGGAAAGCUUUUCGGGGUGGGCUGAGCUCGCGGCCUAUCAGCUUGUUGGUGGGGUAAUGGCCUACCAAGGCGUCGACGGGGAGCCGGCCUGAGAGGGUGUACGGCCACAUUAGGACUGUGAGACAGGCCGGAGUCGGACAGGAGGGAGCAGGGGGGAAAAUUUGACAAAGCGCGCAAGCGUGAGGGAGCGAGGCCGCGGGGUGGAUGACGGCCUUUGUGGGGUAAGCACCUUUCGCGGGGGACGAAGCGCUGUUGUGACGGUACCUGAAGAAGAAGCACCGGCUAACUACGUG